rnacentral:tRNA from 1 species
UCCCCGAUAGUCUAGUGGUGAGGAUAUCUGCUUGUCAUUGACCUUCGAAGAUACGCAGGGGACCGGGGUUCAAUUCCCCGUCGAGGAG